UAUGGCCACAUCAUGUUGACACACCAGGUCCUGUACAAUCACUAAAGUUAAGAAAUGUUGAACCUGGUCAGUACCUAGAUGAGUGACCAUUUGGGAAUAGCAAGUGCUGUAAG